CUACGGAGGGUCCAAGCGUUAUCCGGAUUCAUUGGGUUUAAAGGGUCCGCAGGCGGGAAAAUAAGUCAGUGGUGAAAGCCUACAGCUCAACUGUAGAACUGCCAUUGAUACUGUUUUUCUUGAGUAUAGAUGAAGUGGGCGGAAUAUAUCAUGUAGCGGUGAAAUGCAUAGAUAUGAUAUAGAACACCGAUUGCGAAGGCAGCUCACUGAACUAUUACUGACGCUCAGGGACGAAAGCGUGGGGAGCGAACAGGAUUAGAAACCCUAGUAGUCC
rnacentral:rRNA from 1 species